rnacentral:rRNA from 1 species
AUAACGGGUGGCUUAUAAUUUGAAAUGAGCGCGUGAGCGAUAGUGAAAGGUAAAGUAACUUUUAGCAUGUAAGUUAAAUCAUAGACGUGGAAGAAUAACAGGUGAGAAUAACAGAUUGGUCCGGUGUACCUUUUGCAUCAUGGGGAAGUAAGUAUGUAUGCUUAGUGAAGGAGCCCGAAAGUUAGCGAGUUACCUGAACGUACAAUUGCUGGGGGUUGACGUCUGAUUAUUCAUCUCUUUACGGUUGGGUCGUGUGUGAUAUGCUAAUCGCGGUGGCAGAUAGCUGGUUGGCCCAGAAAUAUAUCUUAGUAUAGCCCCUCCAUUGGCUGCAGGGAGGUGUCUUUUUUUAAAAGCAUGUUUUAGGCGGGGGGAGUUGGUUUGGUCUAGGCUAAGCUAGGCGAGCAAUGGUGAAGGAAACAGGGUGGCGAUUCGUGGUUCUAAAGUGGGUUUCAAUUAGCCAGCUUCUAAAGGAGUUAGUUGCGUAAUAUGAUUUGUUUGAGUUUAGGUUCGAAAUAGGUGUUCCUCCGAGAUAUGGGUCCGUUUGAUGAAAUUGUGAAGGAAUCUUAGUGAUAAUGCUUGUAUUAGUAUAGUCGGGGUGGAUUGUGUCCUGGUGCAAGCGUAAUAGCCUAGGAGGUGCUGAGAUGGUUAUAUGGGGUUUUGAACUAACGAUUAGGAACCUCUUCUGACAAAUUCUCAGUGGCGGCAUGACGUUCCAGGCCUAAUAGCCUUUGUUCACGGCCAUGAGGGGUGGCUUUCUCUUGAUCUGUAGCGAAGGCCGCGUUUGGUUCUUGGUGUUUCAAGGGCACAACAGCGGUAUCGGUGGUGAGAGGGAUUUAAGGUUGCUCGGGCCCGGUUCGGAGGGCGAAUGCUACAGGAUUAGAAAUUUUACUUUAAGCCUAAGGAAGCACAAGAAAAAAAAUUUAGUUAAUCGAAAGGUUCUGCCACUAACUUACGUUGCUGGAAAAGAGAGAUAAAGGAACUCGGCAAAACUUAGCCUUUAACUCUACCAGGGAAUACCGCAUAUCGGAGAUAAACUAAGCGCAAUGAGACCGCCUGUUUAUCAAAAACACGUCUCUUCGGUAUCACGUGGAGUCGGUGAUCUUCCCAGUGGGUGUACGCAUUUAAACGGGGGCAAAGGCAUGUCCAAAGGUAGCUAAAUUACUGGACCAGUAAUUCUGGUUCAUACAUUAAAAAGUGAAGGGGCUGACGAGUCUCUAACUGUCUCUAUAUACAAACUCAUUGGAAAUUUAGUUGGAAGUGCAAACGCUUUCGUGGGUGAGAAAGACGAGAAGACCCUAUGAAGUUUAUCUAGUGAACCUUGGGGAGGGCUUUAGUCCAGGCGUCCUGGGGGUGGCUUUUACUGGGGCAGUAGGAGAGCAGAAUAAGACUCGACCGCUGAUAUAGAAAGCUGAUAAGCCGAGGAUCCAUUGGAGGAAAGGAGGCGAUCAGGAGAAAGAGUUACUCUAGGGAUAACAGCGUAAUUUUGCCCAUUGAGGUCUUAUCAUUAGGCAAGGUUGCGACCUCGAUGUUGGCUCUGGGUAUCCGUGGACUUGCAGGAGGUCCAAAUGGUUGGUUUGUUCGCCCAUUAAAACUCAACGUGAGCUGAGUUCAGAUCGGUGAAAGUUAGGUCGGUUUCUAUCUUCUUUCCUUAAAAUAAUCAUCGGUGCGUACGAGAGGAUAAUCGUGGUUAGUUUUAAAACUAGGCAGGUCAGGUGUCCAGAUAAGU